ensembl:lncRNA
CGCCGUUUUGCAUCCAAAAAAUCUUGACGCGGGUCAAUCGCCACAUUGGCUGCUGCUGCCGCCACCGCCGAGCCGCUUCCUGGUCACUGCUCUUCACAGAGACCGCAGGAGACAGAGCAAGCUGGGACAAAUCACUGACAGACAAAGACUAAAGAAAAAAACAAAAGAAGAACCACAGCCACACAUACUGCCAGAGGCAACGAGCGGAGACCUGCGAAGCCAAGCCGCGUCCUCCUCCACCACGCCGGCAUCUGGACCAGUGAUGUGAAAAGUGCACAGACAACGAAGGCUCAGCUGGUUGGGAGAGGACCUACAUCUGCACAGGGACGAGUUCUCACACCAAGUACAGAGCGGCAAGCAAUGAGGAAGAAAGAAAAGAGGUGCUUGUCCAAUCAGAGAUGCAGAUGGCCACAGAAGACAUGAGCACCAGCCAACCUGGCACCGGGACGACUUCCACUUGCCAAUUUAUACAUAACAAAUCAAAUGUGACCCCCUAAUUAA